UUAGCUAUACAGACUUCACUUAUCCUGGAUCGUUGAUGUGGAAUCUAUUUUAGUCUCCGCGAUCCCAAAAAUAAUAUAAUUCAGUUCUAAAUCUGAAUAAUGUGAGCAUAACCAGUAUAACCUUAUCUGUUUUUAAAAGAUUUGUAAAUUUUGGUUCCUCAUAGCUUGUAUCAUAAACCAAUAUACAGGAUGAUCCAAAAGUAACAAUAGCACAAUGUGGUUUUCACAGAAAUAGACAAAAUGGGUUUUUCUUAUAACUAUUCUGACAAUUUUUUGUUAUUAUUUGCCACCAACAGGUGACACUUCAAUUGUGACAGCAGUUUGAACAUUGUAAUGCAGCUAGGAUUACAAAUGUGACAACACUCUGCAUAGCAUCAAAAAGGCUUUCAGCUGUAAUUUCUGCUACAUGUUGGCUACUGACAUCAACCAAUCUCUGUACACCUAAGGAAUAAGAUCUGGAGAUCUUAGUUUCCAUUCAUGUGGGGAAAAAGUGACUGAAGACAGUCAUUGCCAAAUGUGCUUGCAGUAGGCACUGGAUAGGACUUGUGAUGUGCAGAGAUGCUCCAUCCUGCAUGAAUGGAACAUUACCUCUCUUGCAAGAAGGAAAUGCUGUUAGUCUCUUAAAAGUGCUUCAAAAUGUACCUGUGACAAACAGUUUGAGGAAGUCCACAGUGGUACAUUUCAAAAAAAAAAAGGGAAUAAUGAAUGAUGCAGUGAACCCACCGCACAAUCGUGAAAAUCCCUUUGUGAUGCAAAGUUUCCACAACCUAAUGUGGAUAUUCUCUCGCCCAGAUGCAGUUUCGAGAUUGCUAAAGCACCACUUGUCAGCGACAAAUUAAUUAUUCUGACAAUAAAAUUUUUCAUUAUUAAAAAACAUUGAUGUCUUUCGGUGCAUUUCUAUCAAAACCCGAUCAUACUACUGUCUAUACUUCUUACUUUUUCUGUUAUUUUUG
rnacentral:lncRNA from 1 species